GAACUCUGGUAUUGAUUGGUGCUUGCAUCAUGAUUUACAUUUGAGUGAGUGGCGAACUGGUGAGUAACACGUGGGAAACCUGCCCAGAAGCGGGGGAUAACACCUGGAAACAGAUGCUAAUACCGCAUAACAACUUGGACCGCAUGGUCCGAGUUUGAAAGAUGGCUUCGGCUAUCACUUUUGGAUGGUCCCGCGGCGUAUUAGCUAGAUGGUGGGGUAACGGCUCACCAUGGCAAUGAUACGUAGCCGACCUGAGAGGGUAAUCGGCCACAUUGGGACUGAGACACGGCCCAAACUCCUACGGGAGGCAGCAGUAGGGAAUCUUCCACAAUGGACGAAAGUCUGAUGGAGCAACGCCGCGUGAGUGAAGAAGGGUUUCGGCUCGUAAAACUCUGUUGUUAAAGAAGAACAUAUCUGAGAGUAACUGUUCAGGUAUUGACGGUAUUUAACCAGAAAGCCACGGCUAACUACGUGCCAGCAGCCGCGGUAAUACGUAGGUGGCAAGCGUUGUCCGGAUUUAUUGGGCGUAAAGCGAGCGCAGGCGGUUUUUUAAGUCUGAUGUGAAAGCCUUCGGCUCAACCGAAGAAGUGCAUCGGAAACUGGGAAACUUGAGUGCAGAAGAGGACAGUGGAACUCCAUGUGUAGCGGUGAAAUGCGUAGAUAUAUGGAAGAACACCAGUGGCGAAGGCGGCUGUCUGGUCUGUAACUGACGCUGAGGCUCGAAAGUAUGGGUAGCAAACAGGAUUAGAUACCCUGGUAGUCCAUACCGUAAACGAUGAAUGCUAAGUGUUGGAGGGUUUCCGCCCUUCAGUGCUGCAGCUAACGCAUUAAGCAUUCCGCCUGGGGAGUACGGCCGCAAGGCUGAAACUCAAAGGAAUUGACGGGGGCCCGCACAAGCGGUGGAGCAUGUGGUUUAAUUCGAAGCUACGCGAAGAACCUUACCAGGUCUUGACAUACUAUGCAAAUCUAAGAGAUUAGACGUUCCCUUCGGGGACAUGGAUACAGGUGGUGCAUGGUUGUCGUCAGCUCGUGUCGUGAGAUGUUGGGUUAAGUCCCGCAACGAGCGCAACCCUUAUUAUCAGUUGCCAGCAUUAAGUUGGGCACUCUGGUGAGACUGCCGGUGACAAACCGGAGGAAGGUGGGGAUGACGUCAAAUCAUCAUGCCCCUUAUGACCUGGGCUACACACGUGCUACAAUGGAUGGUACAACGAGUUGCGAACUCGCGAGAGUAAGCUAAUCUCUUAAAGCCAUUCUCAGUUCGGAUUGUAGGCUGCAACUCGCCUACAUGAAGUCGGAAUCGCUAGUAAUCGCGGAUCAGCAUGCCGCGGUGAAUACGUUCCCGGGCCUUGUACACACCGCCCGUCACACCAUGAGAGUUUGUAACACCCAAAGUCGGUGGGGUAAC
rnacentral:rRNA from 2 species